AGUUCAAAUUCAUACGAGACAUCGAAUACAUCGUAAAUUUCUUCAAAUGUGUGAAGUCUCUCUCUCUCGCGUUUUCAUCUUUUGUUAAAACUGUCAUUUUCUGGGAUGUUGAAAGUAAAGAUAAGAUCAGACUCGAGUUUCAAGUUCUUUACACAUAUAUGCUCGGGGCAAUUCUUAAUUACGAGCUUAUAACGAAUAAAUAUCGCGAAUGAAAACUGUUUCUCAUCAUUGCGAUAUACGCUAGUUGGUGGCAGCGCAGAAUUUUAUUGAUCGAGAAUCUGUCGCUUCUAGUUUCUAUGGUUGCUGGAUUAACCCUUGCGACGACGGCCUCGUUGUUAAUUCCUCCAUAAAAUUUGAAUAUCCUCAAGUAAUUACUCGCGACAGAAUUGCUCCACCGUGCGGAAUACUUAAAUAUAACUCCCGUAUUUGUGCAAAACGACAUAAAGGAAGAAGGCGUUAUCUCCGAAAAAAAAAAAGAAUAAUAAAAUAAAACCAAUUGCCUUCUUGAAUUUUAAUCAUUUUAUAGGGAUAUAAAAAGCAUCGAGCAAAAAAGGAGAAAAAGAAACGUUUACGAAGACCGAUACGAAGAAGGAAAGGAAGAAACGAAGAAGCAACGAACAAAGUAAAAGUCAAUUUGCAAGAAUCGAACAAGAAUUGAAUGAAACUGUCUACUUUUAUAAAAGAAAGUCGUUUAUUGUAUUUAUAAUUUUUAAAUUAUUUGUUUUCCGUUUUUAACUUAAUUUUAAAAUAUUUAAAUACAAUAUCAUAAAAUAUUAAUUCUGUUAUAAAAAAAUUCAGAAAAGAAAAAAAAAGUAAUUACAUAAAUAUUUUAUAACUGCAAUAUUCAUAUUAUUGGAAAGAACGAUUCUAUUCGAUAUAUUGAGAAGCUCGAUACAUGAGCCACGUAACCUAAUCCAAGGUCAGCUAUUUAUGAGAUAAUAUUAAUGAAAACUUUGAAGUCCCUCUAAUUAAAUAUCAAAUAUAACAAAAUUUAACUUCUUUUACCUAUUAAAUAUAAUCAUAUUGUGUAUAAUCUUAUUUUAAUUUAAAGAAACCUUAUAAAUAUAACUUCAAUUAAAAAAGAAGAUUAAGAAAAUUAUCGUUACAUUAAUAAGAAAUAGAUAAUCAAUUAAAUAAAUUGAAAACUUUAAUCCCACAUCUUUUAUAGUUAUAAGAUAUUUACUGUAAUUACAAUACGCUUAAAAAUUUAUUAUAAUUUAUAACUUACAACAAUCAAAACAUAGGAAUAAAUAUUCCUAUUUUUUCCCUUUAUGUAAAAUUGUACGAAUUAUAUCUCAUUCCACAAUGAUUUUCUCCAAAAGUGAAAGAUAAUAAUCGAAAAAUUACCGUUAUUCAAAGUGAUAAAUUUUAACAGUUUCACUCGAUUCUCGGCAUCUCGGAGUGUCCGCGGCUUCGAAUAAAUAAACGGUUAAUGCACACACAGAAUCGCCGUCGUCCGAGGGUUAAAGACCCGUUAACGUCUUUUUUUUUUCGCCUUUUUCGAAACCAUUUUAAUCAUCCAGCUGUGAUGUACUCACCGGAAUGAUAGCGGCUCUCAUUGCGCGUGAGUCUGCGAUUGCCGCGUCUCGCAGCCGCCGAGUUCGAAUUCCCGGUGUUUCCGGUGGAGCCGCCAGAUCCCGGGGGACUGGCGAUUCCUCCAGGUACUAGCCGGCCUCCUGCAUGCAACACAACAACAACAACGCCACAUAGACAAAAAAAGAAGGGUUCUCUAUCGGGUCUCUUUGUGCCUCCUCUCUAGCUCUGAACAGCCCAAAGAAAGGACAUUUUACCACUGUUUUUAUUAUCGCUUUCUCGGGCUGGUGUUGUAACGGAUUGGAAAAGGAGAUUGAAGAGAAUCGUUCGUUCGAGCAGGGGUCUAAAUGGCGCCAUCGACGAUCGGUCGUUCCACCUUUGGAAGCUGCGAGGACGAUUUCACUUUUAUCGAUUGUUCACAAUCCUGCAGUGGUGCAGGGAGGUCGGAAGAGGAGGUGGGCUGGUGUGACGCGAUUUAAUCUCAGCGACAGAACAACUUCCACGUAACUUGAACUCUACCAGUUUUCAAAGACGUUUGGAAUGCAAUGCGUUUCCUCUGGUGGUAAUGGUAAACUAACCACCAAAUCAACAUCUUUUACGCUUUUAUUACCGACAAAAAUGCCGCGUCUUUCAUUUCAUCUUACUUCUAUGAAUUUUUAAUAACAAACGUUUCUAAUAAUGAUCCGGCUGAUGGUAACUUCUUGUGCAAUUUCAAAUACAUACUUCUGUAUAUCAACUUCUGUAUAUAUCAAUUUUCGAUAAAUUCAUAAAACAAUGCUUGUCAA